rnacentral:lncRNA from 1 species
UUGUGAGGGCGCCCCCCGGCGGCUCGGAGGACCGAGGGUGGUGCGUUCUAAGAAAAGAUUUUUGGGGGGGUCCAGAAAGACUCAGGAGGGGUCAGUGCAGAGGCAGCAGCUUUAUUGUUGCAAAACAGGCAAAUAAAAACAAAUUUAUCGUUAAAAAUCUUGUUAAAAUUUUGUUAAAAUUAAGGCAGUUUCAACCCUCCCCUCUCCCUUCAGACGCCCCAAAAAUCCCCACGGGGUGGGAGCCCCGAAAUUGUCACCAGAGGUAAUGGGGGGACCCCCAAAAGUAACAAACGGGGGAGUCCAAAGGGCACAGGUGGACCCCAAAAGUGAUGGGAGGACCCCAAAAAUUCACUCCAGGCAAUGGGGGAACCCCAAAAGCACCAAAGGGACCCCAAAUUUUCACUCCAGGCAAUGGGGGAACCCCAAAGGGACCCCCAACCCUCACUCCCGGCAAUGGGGGGGAUCCCAAAAGCACCAAAGGGACCCCCAACCCUCACUCCCGGCAAUGGGGGGACCCCAAAAGCACCAAAGGGACCCCAACCCUCACUCCCAGCAAUGAGGGAACCCCAAGGAUGACAAAGGGACCCCAACCCUCACUCCCGGCAAUGGGGGGACCCCAAACUCCCCCCGGCCCCUCAGCAGAGGCUGACGGGCAGCCCGUAGGCCACGGGCGCGGCCCCGAUUAGCGAUUUGAGGCGGGGGGCCUGGCGGGCCUGGGCCAGCUGCCCCAAAAGGGGGGUCCCGGGGCCCCCCCCCAGCCACCCCCGCAGCAGCGCCUGCGCCAGCCGGUCCAGGUCCCGGUCCGUGACGUCCCACAGGUUCCCCAGCACCAGCGGGCUGCAAACGGGGGGACACCCCAAAACGGGGGUGUGAGAGCCCAGGUACAGAGAGAGACACCCCAAAUAGAGAGAGAGACCCCAAAUACAGAGACACCCCAAAAUGGGGCUGUGAGAGCCCAAAUAGAGAGAGAAAUACACCCCAAAUAUAGAGACCCCAAAAUGGGGGUGUGAGAUACCAGGUACAGAGAGAGACACCCCAAAUAUAGAGAGAGACCCCAAAUACAGACACACCCCAAAUACAGAGAGAGAUGCACCCCAAAUAGAGAGAGACCCCAAAAUGGGGCUGUGAGAGCCCAAAUAGAGAGAGAGAGACCCCAAAUACUGAGAGAGACCCCAAAAUGGGGAUGUGAGCACAGGGAGAAUGCCCAAAAAUAAAGAGACACCCCAAAGUCA